rnacentral:lncRNA from 1 species
ACAGUGAGUUACUUGCAAAUCACCGUAGUGAUCUCAGGUCGGAGGGAUAUUUAUAUCCAUAUCCUUUCGGAGUGACUCUUGAUAGCAGAGUGCUCCAGAGUUGGUCAUGUUCAGUGAAAUAUACUCUUACAUUUCACCUGCAUGCCAUACCAGCAUCUUCAUGCUCCUUAGUUAAGAAGACAACCAACCUAUAUGGCACACACCGACCGACACUUGAUAUGUCUAUCAUCCUAGUAAUAGCAUAUCAUUUGAUCACGAACUCAUUUAAGGACUAAACGAUAAAUUCUUCUUUAUCGAUUUAAAAUAGUCCUAAGGACUUUCAUCAUAGCACAGAAGUUUGAUAUAGAUGAUGUACAAGCUUAUGAUAAAAAUUAUCAAAUAAAUAUUUUACUAAUUAAUUCAUAUAUAAUUACAUCAAAUAGCACAACCGUCAACAGGCUAACGAUUGACUUUGAGACAUAUUUUCCAACAAUGAUAUGUUGGACAAGUCACACUAUACAUGGCUCCUCUUGGGACCAAGCCCAUAAUCAAGUAGAAAAUUGGUUGUUGAGUGGUCUUGUUGUGAGGAGAAGCUAGAACAAGCAAGGAAUAAAAAUUUGAGCAUCAAAGAGAGAAACUAGCAAACCAGGAUAGGCAACUAAAGAAAGAGUGAACUAACUAAGCUAGUACCAUUGCAAGAGCACUAAGGCCUGCUAGAGUAUAGCCAUCACCAUCGACCCCUGUUGUCUAUAGCUUAUGUCAAGCUUUGAUCCAUGCUUCGAUUGCUAACCCUAGCAUCGAUAGCCAACCCCAUCUCUAUGCACACCAAGUCACCGACCUAGGCUUCAGAUGCCAAUCACCACAUCAGCUCCUGACCCAUGCAUUUGUUGCCGACCUCUAUAAUGAGAUGCUGAUCCACAUCCCCUUCGACUCUUGCAUUGAUAUCCACAUUUGGAAAGGUUGAUAAAACCCUCACAUAAUUCCUCCAAAAUGUGUGACCAUUGGGAAGCAGUUGGUUACCGAUCGGAUCAAGCAACUGCAACCAUCCAAUACCGAGAAAUCAGACUAGAAAUCUCGAAGUGAUGCAUCAAAAGGAGUCAUGGUGGCUUCCAACCCUUUCGUGUCAUGGCUUUUGCCUCAACCUAUAAAUAGAGGUAAACAAGAGACCCCCAAGGUAUACAAAAAAAUUCUCUCUCUUGUGCCCUCUUUUUAUUCUAUCAAUUUUUGAUUUGAGCAUCGGAGGAUCUCCAUCGGAGCUAAUUUCGAUUAGAAACUUAUUUUACAGAUUCGAUCACCAUUACCUUGUCAGUCGCCACCUUAUUCUAGUCAAUCUGAUCCAAGCCGAAGAUCUAAAGCAACAUAUUGAUGCUAGAGGAAGGGCCUAAGCCCAUUUUUUGGAAAGAAGCACAAGAUCUACAACUAUGUCGGCUACAAGAACUUCAUCUCGACAUUCAAAUGCUACAGCAAGCUGAUCGACUGAAAAUUUGAUCAAAAAUCAUACUCCAGCUCAAUAGCUGAAGAGACCUCUGCAACCCCCUCCAUCACUUGUAGAGGUAAACCAAGACCAAUUCAAUUCUUUGGUCCCCCAAGUGCAGGUGUUGACCGCAACGGUCAAUGCCAUGCAACAACCAAAUCCGAUGCAGAAGGCAUCCCAGCAACAACCUCCUCAAUCUCCAUCAUGAAGAAUGGAUCGAGAUAGGCAAACACGGCUGAGCUGACCCUAGAGUCUCGAGUGGAGGAGGUGCUCACCAACUCCUCACUCUGGUAAGGGAUCUACUCUAGGCCGAUCCAUAUCCCACCAUAUGGAGAUCUAUAUGAUCCAUUUGCUGACGUGAAUUGCAAUCUCUAGGAGAUGAAUCGACGGGUCAAGGCAUUAUAGCACUAAGCCAUAGAUCAAAACAAUCAAAUUGACUUCCACAUCAGCCCACCUUUUAGUGAUAGGAUCAUACAGGAGUCGUUGCCUGCUGGGUUUAAAAUGCCACAACUGGAGAAUUAUGAUGGGUCGACUGACCUAAUAGAUUGUCUGAAGAGCUUUAAAGCUCUCAUACUCCUCCAUGGAGCAAGUGAUGCAAUUUUAUGCCGAGUCUUUCCUUCUAUCCUCAAGAAGAUGGCUUGAGACUGGUACUCAGGUUUGAAGCAUGCUCUAUCCACAUGUUCGAUCAGAUGAGUAGAUUGUUUGUCACUCACUUCGUUAGCAGCAAAAGGCAGUGCUGGCAAUCUGGCUCCCUAGUGAACAUCAAGCAGAGGGAAGGAGAAUCUCUCUGUGACUAUAUAAAUUGCUUUAAUAUGGUUGCAUUGGAAGUGCACAAUCUAGACCAAUCAGUCGUCAUGACCAUCAGAAGAGAUUUUCAAAAGACUUCAUGAAGAUGCUAGAUAGGAUGGGGAAGUAUGCCUGAGCUGAUGAAGCUUUUGAGAAGCAUAGAACCUUCAUUGAAGUUUCAAUCGAGAAAAAAAGGAAGGACUAAAGUUAUCCCCAAUUUGGGAGGAUCCCUCCAGAGGUCGGCCAUGAUCAAGAACUCCGCCUCAGUGCGAACGUCAAGAACCCUUGCUCAUAGCCGACGAUCGAGAAGCCCAUGAAGGUAAUGUCAACCAUCAACAAGGCACUGAUCCCCACUGAGGAGGUUUACUAACUACACUCCUUUGAAUACUUUUCAGACUCAAAAGUACUUAUGGAGAUUAAAGAGCAGCUGCCUAGGGUAGAAAGAAUAUAGUCUCAUCUAAAGAAUCAAAAUCGAAAGAGGUAUUGCCUCUACCAUCGGGACCAUGGCCAUGACACCAAAACUACAUCCACCUUCAGGAUGAGAUCAAGGAGUUCAUUUGAUAGGGCCGACUGGAUCGUUUCAUCUACCACAUAAAGGAAGGAUCUACGAAGCCACCAAGGGCACCUCGUUAAGGAGAGCAACAUUGGCAGGAAAUACCAACAGAAAACUAACCUACAGCUGGCAUAAUCAAUGAUGUCAUUGGGGGGCAUGGUGGAUUAAAGCCCAGAGAAUUGACCAAAAGGUGAAGUCAAGGGAAGCAAUAACUUUCUCCAAGGAGGG